UAAGACGAACCGUCCAAACGUUAUUCGGAAUCACUGGGCUUAAAGGGUGCGUAGGCGGCUUGGCAAGUUGGGUGUGAAAUCCCUCGGCUCAACCGAGGAACUGCGCCCAAAACUGCCAAGCUAGAGGGAGACAGAGGUGAGCGGAACUUAGGGUGGAGCGGUGAAAUGCGUUGAUAUCCUAAGGAACACCAGUGGCGAAGGCGGCUCACUGGGUCUCUUCUGACGCUGAGGCACGAAAGCUGGGGGAGCGAACGGGAUUAGAUACCCCGGUAGUCCUAGCUGUAAACGAUGAGCACUGGGCCGGAGAGUCCUCCAUAGCUUUCCGGCCGUAGCGAAAGUGUUAAGUGCUCCGCCUGGGGAGUAUGGUCGCAAGGCUG
rnacentral:rRNA from 1 species